rnacentral:lncRNA from 1 species
GUUAGGCCUACGGAAACUUUCUUUUCCCCUUUUCUCGAGAAAAAUGAUGGAUGAUGGGGAUCACAAGAACCUGGUGUUCGACACCGUUAGUUAAAUGCACUAUCCUCUGAACUGUAUCUGAACAAGACCAACCUCCCACUUGCGUUAGACUGUAGGAUCAACAAACACACGGCUUUGUUUGUUUUGCACCAACUAGUUUUUAAAAUCUUGCGAAAAUUUUCCAAUCAACCAUGCGUUAUAAACCAAUCCCCUACAUUGCACGCCCUUAAAAACCUGGCAGACUCUCUUUGCUGCUUGUCCAUGAUUGGAAGAGCACUCAAUAAUUGAUGCACGGCACUGA